AUAAAUGCAAAGAAGAGGAUUAGUAAGAUGAACAGUUGUGUCUAGAGAGCUGCUGGUUAGGUGAAAAGCAGUCACAAUGUAGUCUGAACUCGCCUUGAAGUAGCUUUACUGAACCUUUAGUAAGUAAAGUCGGAAUCCUAAACGUUAUAUUAGGCUAUGUGAGAAUUUAUUCUUAUGUGAUUGAGUGCAUACUUUUUGUAUGAACAAGAGUGGUACCGCGAAGAUUUCAAGUCUUUCGUCUCUUAA
rnacentral:ncRNA from 1 species